rnacentral:rRNA from 1 species
UAAGGAAUAUUGGACAAUGGACGCAAGUCUGAUCCAGCCAUGCCGCGUGAAGGAUGACUGCCCUCUGGGUUGUAAACUUCUUUUAUAGGGGAAGAAAGUUAUUUUUUAGGAUAUUUGACGGUACCCUAUAAAUAAGCACCGGCUAACUCCGUGCCAGCAGCCGCGGUAAUACGGAGGGUGCAAGCGUUAUCCGGAUUCACUGGGUUUAAAGGGUGCGUAGGCGGGUAUGUAAGUCAGUGGUGAAAUACCGGAGCUUAACUUCGGAACUGCCAUUGAUACUAUAUAUCUUGAAUAUUGUGGAGGUAAGCGGAAUAUGUCAUGUAGCGGUGAAAUGCUUAGAGAUGACAUAGAACACCGAUUGCGAAGGCAGCUUGCUACGCAAAUAUUGACGCUGAGGCACGAAAGCGUGGGGAUCAAAACAGGAUUAGAUACCCUGGUAGUCCACGCCCUAAAACGAUGAUUACUCGACAUUAGCGAUACACAGUUAGUGUCUGAGCGAAAGCAUUAAGUAAUCCACCUGGGAAGUACGACCGCAAGGUUGAAAACUUAAAGGAAUUGACGGGGUCAUAGCUGUUUCCU